AUGUUAGAACAACCUGUUAACAUUUUGUGUUGGAACGUGAGGGGUCUAAAUUGUUUGGAUCGUCGAACUACUGUGCAUGAGACCAUUGCGGCUUCAUCCUGUCAGAUUGUGUGCCUGCAAGAAUCCAAGUUAGACAACGUCGACAAGUUUACUGCUGCAUAUCUGGGAGGUUUUCGCCUUCGUAGCUUUGCCCAGUUACCGGCUGUGGGCAUCCGUGGAGGCAUUCUGAUGCUCUGGGAUGAUUCCAUCAUUGGCAUCAAUGACAUUGUGGCGCUGGAAUUCUGCCUCUCCGCCUCAGUUACCCUGCGUGAAUCCAGCACCACCUUCAAGAUCACUACCGUCUAUGGUCCUUCUACCGCCUCAAGAAAAGAUGUUUUCCUUGCCGAGUUGAUCACCCAAAAGCCUGUUUGUGGAUCCAAGUGGCUGGUUCUAGGUGAUUUCAACCAAAUUUAUAGGGCCCGUGACAAGAAUAAGUGCAACAUUAAUAGAAGCCGCAUCACUCGUUUCCGCAACGCCCUUCAAUCCUGUGACCUCAAAGAGAUUCAC
rnacentral:rRNA from 1 species